AUCGCUUCUCGGCCUCUGGCUAAGAUCAAAGUGUAGUAUCUGUUCUUAUCAGCUUAAUAUCUGAUACGCCCCGCAUGCGGGGCCAGUAUUAUUAAACUGAUUUUUGGAAAUUGAUGGGGGUUAGGGGCUUGCUCCACCCUCGUCGCGGGUUGGCCCGGUAUUGCAUUACUACCGGGAUCGGCCCACUUAAG